GAUGAACGCUGGCGGCGUGCUUAACACAUGCAAGUCGAACGAGAAAUGUAGACGGAAACCUUCGGGCGGAAGCCUUCAUUUCGAGUGGCGGACGGGUGAGUAACGCGUGGGUAACCUGCCUCAUACAGGGGGAUAACAGUUGGAAACGACUGUUAAUACCGCAUAAGACCACAGCAUCGCAUGAUGCGGGGGUAAAAACUCCGGUGGUAUGAGAUGGACCCGCGUUCGAUUAGCCAGUUGGCGGGGUAACGGCCCACCAAAGCGACGAUCGAUAGCCGAUCUGAGAGGAUGACCGGCCACAUUGGGACUGAGACACGGCCCAAACUCCUACGGGAGGCAGCAGUGGGUAAUAUUGCACAAUGGGGGAAACCCUGAUGCAGCGACGCCGCGUGAGUGAAGAAGUACUUCGGUAUGUAAAGCUCUAUCAGCAGGGAAGAAAAUGACGGUACCUGAGGAAGAAGCCCCGGCUAACUACGUG
rnacentral:rRNA from 1 species